rnacentral:pre_miRNA from 1 species
AUUUAGGAUAAUCUUUCUUUUAAGUAGGGGUAAAUGAAUACUAGAUAAGUUUUCCCUUCAAGUCAAGCAUCUUGU